AGAGAAGCCCUGUCUCGAAAAACAAAAAAACAAACAAACAAACAAACAAAAGCCAAAACAAAAAACAAACAGAGUAUACAAGAUUUGGUAGAUGUUUUAUAAAUUAGUUUAUAAUUGGGUUAUGGACACUGAUUUAAUGAAAAUAGCCAUUUUCUUUUUUUCUCCCUCCAAUUUAUUUAAUUUUAUUUAUUUACUUAAAGUCGAGGUUCUACUAUGUAGCAUAGGCUGGCUUUGAACUUAAGAUCCCUUCCUGUCUGAGGUCUGGAAUAUAAACAUUCACCACCAUAUCUGGGCUCUUAUUUUAAUUUGCAGAGGUUUGUUUCAUGGUGAGUCUCUUGCACUUCCUACGUUGUGGUAAUUAAUAAAGAUGACUCCAUAAAAUUAUAAGAGCUUUUAUAGUUUUAUAUUAUAAAGCAAUAUACAAUAAAUAUAAAUUCACAUUACAGUUUGGCUUUACUGAACCAUUUUACAUUUAUAUUGGAGUAAUAUCUUAACAAAUAGAUGUUCUUUAUGCUAUAUUUUUAAAGCAAAAUGUGGCUAGUUUCUUGGGUUUAGAAUGAAUGAACCUUGAUUUCUUCCUUCCUUCCUUCCUUCCUUCCUUCCUUCCUUCCUUCCUUCCUUCCUCUCUCUCUCUCUCUCUCUCUCUCUCUCUCUCUGCCUGCCUGCCUGCCUGCCUGCCUGCCUGCCUGCCUGCCUGCCUGCCUGCCUGCCUUUCUUUCUUGCCUUGAACUCUCCAGACCCCUGCCUCUACCUCUCCUUCCAGGUGCUAGUUAUCAUCAUAGGCCACCAUACUUAGCAGUUGUUUGUAGGGUCAAUGUUUUAUUCAUUAAUGCUGGUUUUGGAACUAAGCCUCUGUAGUGCCAGCUGGAACUGCUGGGAUGAUGUAGUCCUCCUCCAUCAGCCUGCAGAGCAUCUAGACUACUGUGUGUUGCCUAUUCGUAGGUCAUCUUCUACAAGUUGAUUUAUUGGAACUAUUUUUAUUUUUCUGUUUUUUUCUCUUGAGGAUCAAACAGAGUAGGCAUUUUAUUUUUCCCACCCUCCAUCCUAUCUGUUGUAAUUGGUUGUGUAAGUGUUUUGUUUGUUUGUUUGCAUACAUGUAUGUAACAAAUGCAUGCUUGGUGCCCACAGAGGCCAGAACACAUUAUUGGCUCUCCUGGAACUUGAGUUAAAGACAUGAUUGUGAGCCGCUGAGUAGGUGCUGGGGACCAAGCCCAUUCUCUGCAAGAACAGCAAGCGCUCUUAUUGGUAUUUAUAAAGACAAUCAACAUGUAUUUUUUAAUGACUUCAGCCCUUUGGUAAAGGAUAAUACAUUUUACAUGCAUAAUUAUAUUUAUUGAAUACAACUUUACAUGUUUUUCUUUCCUACCUUUGAAUGUGUUUAUAGGAACUAGAAAAUUUGCUGGGCAGUGGUGGCACAUGUUUUUAAUCCCAGCAGAGGCAAGCUGAUCUCUUGAGUUCCAGGCCAGCCUGGUCUGCAGAGUGAGAUCUAGAACAACCUAGGCUACACAAAGAAACCCGGUCUC
rnacentral:lncRNA from 1 species